rnacentral:rRNA from 1 species
UACAGAGGGUGCAAGCGUUGUCCGGAAUCAUUGGGCGUAAAGAGCGUGUAGGCGGUCCGGUAAGUCGGCUGUGAAAGUCCAGGGCUCAACCCUGGGAUGCCGGUCGAUACUGCCGGACUAGAGUUCGGAAGAGGCGAGUGGAAUUCCCGGUGUAGCGGUGAAAUGCGCAGAUAUCGGGAGGAACACCUAUGGCGAAGGCAGCUCGCUGGGACGUUACUGACGCUGAGACGCGAAAGCGUGGGGAGCAAACAGG